GCCUGGGUGGUGAAACUGGUAGCCACGCGAGACUUAAAAUCUUGUGGCCGCAAGGCCGUGCCGGUUCGAGUCCGGCCCCAGGUA
rnacentral:tRNA from 1 species